UUGCUCAAGGCUUCAGCAGCACAUAUACUAAAACUGGAACGAUACAGAGAUUAGCAUGGCCCCUGCACAAGGAUGAGACGCAAGUUCAUGAAGCUUUCCAUAUUUCU